GGUUGAGGAAAUGAUGCUUGGAGAGGUUGGUCUUGCUCAAAGCUUUCAGCAGCUUUGGGACAUCCUGGGAGCCUCUGCUCCUUGUUUCCCAGAAUCCCUCACAGAAUCACAGAGCUUUCAUCAGAAGAAACCUUGGCUGGAAGUCGCUUAGAGAGCAUCUACUCUACUACCUUCGUUCUGCAGGAGAGAAACUUGUUAGUCUAGAAUUACCUGGGUGACACCAGUGGAACAGUGAUGGCAUCUGGUGUCCUGACCUCUGGUCUGUUUCCUCCUUCUGCACCUCCUACUCCAGGGGACUACACACGUGUCCUGAUUAUUUUGUUAGAUCCCCAAAGUCAAAUUACAAAGGAGUGGUCGUAUGUUCAACUGUAUUUCUGCAAACACAGAGGAAACACCAAUUAUAUUAUGCAAUUACCUUUUCUUAUCAUUUGGACUUUUUUUGAGCCUAAGUUAUCCAUUUUAUUUAAUUUUGACACACUUAGUAAUAAGUAUCAUUUUGCAGAAACAACUAAUGAACAGCUACUUUCUCCUAAUUUCAUUACAAAAAAAAGAUGCUAAUGAGCGAUCAACACGUCUUUGGAUUUGCAGUUUUUGUGGGAGGAGAGAGGCCGCCUGGCUUAUACCCGCUGGGACUGAUUUCUUCUUCUUCUGCUUCUUUUUUAAAUUCUAUUUGAAAAAUUCAACUGUGGAGGGAGCUACUGUAAUCUUCCCCUUAAGAAGGCCUAUGAAGAGGAAAAUCA
rnacentral:lncRNA from 1 species